ensembl:processed_transcript
UGGUUGCUUGAGGCAAGAGAAGAAAGGGGAGCAUCGCUUCUCUACCCACAAGGCAGGCAAGUCUCCAUUCUCGCACUUGAGAGCUUCCUUCAGUUCAGUUCUAUGCUGGACAUGGUUGCACGGAAACCACCCGUACUGUGGAGUUCACAGUCUCAUGAAGGCCCAUACAUAUGUAACCAUGGAGUAAGUCCGCAAGCACUGGUGUAGCAGUCCAAGGCACGGCAGGCGCAUGCACCAAGUGAGAGACAACUGAGAGAAAUGGAUGCUGUGGUGCAGGGAUCAUGCUAGAAGCACAAGAGGACCAAGGAGAGGACCAGGUCUGGGAGAAUCCAGAAAGGACACUGGGCAAUAGAACGUGACAGAGUAGAGGACACGACUGUCCAGUGGCUUGAGUCUGGGGUCACUGGUGGAAGAACAGAUGCCAGUGCCACAGCUAUUGGCCAGUGUGUUACAGUUAAAGAAGGAAGCCAGGAGCCACUGCAACAAGACCUUGUGCAGCGUGCCUGCAUUGAUGCGACAGUUCAUGUAUACAUUGGUGCCUCUUAUGAGCUCUGGGGUCUCUG